GGAGAGGUGUCUGAGUGGUUUAAAGUACUGGUCUUGAAAACCAGCGUAACGUAAGUUACCGAGGGUUCAAAUCCCUCCCUCUCCA
rfam:Genlisea aurea contig_557, whole genome shotgun sequence.